UGAGGAAUAUUGGACAAUGGGCGAAAGCCUGAUCCAGCCAUGCCGCGUGAAUGAUGAAGGCCUUAGGGUUGUAAAGUUCUUUUAGAUGGGAAGAUGAUGACGGUACCAUCAGAAAAAGCUCCGGCUAACUUCGUGCCAGCAGCCGCGGUAAUACGAAGGGAGCGAGCGUUGUUCGGAUUUACUGGGCGUAAAGCGUGCGUAGGUGGUUUUUCAAGUCAGAAGUGAAAGCCCAGGGCUUAACCCUGGAACUGCUUUUGAAACUGGAUCACUAGAAUGUGGGAGAGGUAAGCGGAAUUCCGAGUGUAGAGGUGAAAUUCGUAGAUAUUCGGAGGAACACCAAUGGCGUAAGCAGCUUACUGGAACACUAUUGACACUGAGGCACGAAAGCGUGGGGAGCAAA
rnacentral:rRNA from 1 species